rnacentral:lncRNA from 1 species
GAUGAGACCGGCUUCCACAGCACUGCAAACCCAGAAGGUGCCCUGGUCAGGACUCAGGCUCCUCGGGCCUGUUCAACAGAACCCAAAAGAGGAAUACACGCACAAGGCUCUUGCCACUGUUUAAGUACAAUUAGCCACCUAAAAAUGACAGUCAACCUCAAAAUAUGUACAAGAUACCCAAGAUGUUCCCAUCCUGGCUAGAUCUCACAGGGGUCAUGAAAGACUUGCAGAACAUUAAUUCACACCCCAGAAUUUCAACAACGGAUGGAUCAAAGUACCACAUUUCUUCACAGCAGACUCUUGAAAUGCCAGAGGUCAAAAUCAUUACGUGCUGGGACAAAAGACAGGGUGAGGGGCUGGAGUGAAAGCCUUGGCCUGGAGGAGCUGUUUACCAGGGAACCCAGGCAAGCCGUGGGCGUGGGCUGUGGCCCUGCACUUUGAUGGCUGGCUGGGUCUGGGUGGCCUGCACUCAUUCGCCUCCUGUCUCACCCCACCACCACCCAAGAUGAAGCCAUCUUUUCUGGCUCCUCCUUCUUUUUGGUAGAAAUGGUACCAGCUUGUGUGGUCUGGAGGGAAAGGACUUAAGGGUAUGAACCUCUCAGCAGCCAUGAUCCUUAUAGGACUUAGUGAGCUAUUUAGAGGUAUCUGAGGGAAUCAGAGCCUUGAGAGCCCAGUAGAGACAUCACUGUUGACUAUUCAAAAAGGCAUUAUUUAGAGCAGGGUUCACAAGCUAUGGCCUGUGGGCCAAAUCUAGCUGGCCAACUGUUUCUGUAAAUAAAGUUUUA